AGACUAGAGCAGUGACAGCUAAGAUAAAACAUUUUCCCAAAAUCUGCCCUCUUCUACCUCCUCCCACAGAGCAGCACAAGGGAAUGCGGCUGCGGUCAGAACCCCACUACUGAACCCUUGCUACCUUUUGUUCCCCAUCCUGCAGCAGUCCGGGAGUACCAGGAAGGAGAUUUCUUUCAGAUCUGACUCAGCACGACCACACACCCCUGGAGCACUCCUGUUCAACUUCAGUCACUCACGUAUGAAGUCCUCAUAUCCUCACUGGAACAAAUGAGCGUGAGCUGUACCCUCUGAAGCCCCUCACCUUGCAGUGUACUGAAUAAGGACUGAAAGGUCAGAAGAAAGCAAAAAAGGUCGAGAUGAUUGCAGCUGCAGGAUAUACACCUUCCUGCUCUGGCCUUUGGCGCAGACAACCUGUGUUUAGUUAGUGCUUGCAAAUAAUGGAAUGAGCAUUUACAGAUGUUUUUGAAAAUAAGGUUUUGUAACUAACAAACAAUGAAAAAAGCAGUCUGUUGCAUCACUAAGAUUAAUGUGUACACUGAUAUGGUCAAUGCUCACAUACAUAAGGUAAGUGUUAAAACACAGGUAUCUUCUAUUGUUUGUACAGAUGGUUAGUGUCUCAAAGCAGGCUCU